UACAGAGGGGGCAAGCGUUAUUCGGAAUUAUUGGGCGUAAAGGGCGCGUAGGCGGCCAUUCAAGUGACGGGUGAAAGCCCUCGGCUUAACCGAGGAACUGCCUGUCAGACUGGAUGGCUUGAGACCGGGAGAGGUGAGUGGAAUUCCUGGUGUAGCGGUGAAAUGCGCAGAUAUCAGGAGGAACACCGGUGGCGAAGGCGGAUCUCUGGGCCAUUACUGACGCUGAGGAGCGAAAGCGUGGGGAGCGAACAGG
rnacentral:rRNA from 1 species